AACGAGCGCUGGCGGCAUGCCUAACACAUGCAAGUCGAACGAGACCUUCGGGUCUAGUGGCGCACGGGUGCGUAACGCGUGGGAACCUGCCCUUAGGUUCGGAAUAACUCCCCGAAAGGGGUGCUAAUACCGGAUAAUGUCUUCGGACCAAAGAUUUAUCGCCUUUGGAUGGGCCCGCGUUGGUUUAGCUAGUUGGUAGGGUAAAAGCCUACCAAGGCGACGAUCCAUAGCUGGUCUGAGAGGAUGAUCAGCCACACUGGGACUGAGACACGGCCCAGACUCCUACGGGAGGCAGCAGUGGGGAAUAUUGGACAAUGGGCGAAAGCCUGAUCCAGCAAUGCCGCGUGAGUGAUGAAGGCCUUAGGGUUGUAAAGCUCUUUUACCCGGGAUGAUAAUGACAGUACCGGGAGAAUAAGCUCCGGCUAACUCCGUG
rnacentral:rRNA from 1 species